rnacentral:tRNA from 1 species
GCAUUGGUGGUUCAGUGGUAGAAUUCUCGCCUUCAUUGUGGGAGAUCCGGGUUUGAUUCCUGGCCAAUGCA